UCCUGCAGCGGCUUGAAUCAGUUUCCCAGAAACGCAGCUGAGAAAGAGGAAUGAGCACAAAGAAGGCAGAAAGUUUCAUCUUGUCAGUGCGGCAGCAAAGUGAACCACCAGGAGCUGACUCGCCUUUUAUAUACAAGUGCCUCUGGUUGCGUCAACUUUGUACCACCGGUCGUCUAAUUCAUGGGUGAAUUCCACCUUGUUGUGACAUGAUGAUGGUGCUCAUCUACAUCUCCAGCUGUAUACGUGAUGGAGGCUGAGGAUUGAGUGGAUGAUCAGGCUGCUGAUGAGCUUCACUCUGAAUCCUGACCUCCUCCUUCUGCUUCAGUGGUUUCUGACUUCAUAAUUUGGUCACCAUGGCAACCAUAGAGAUGAUUGAGGUCCCUAAUUUGACUUUCUGAGAAUCACACUGAUGCUGAACAUCAGGCUGUUAACUGCAGAGCAUCAGACCUUAUCUGUGAUCCUCCCGACAGUUUCUCUCCUAACUCCUGGUAAGAGUUCACAGAGGACUUCAGCUUCUUGCAGCUGCUCCUGCUGAUAGAUGUCAUUGCUGUCUUCUCCCUCUGCACUGGCUGCUACGUCUUCUUUGUUUCUGCUUUUCUCUUUAUCAUGACUGUGACUCUGGCAGCUGUGCUGAAAAUAUGAUUGUUCUCCUUAUAAUAAAAGCUGGAAGCUGAAAA